GUGUACAGGUGGUGCAUGGUUGUCGUCAGCUCGUGUCGUGAGAUGUUGGGUUAAGUCCCGCAACGAGCGCAACCCUUGUCUUAUGUUGCCAGCAUUUGGUUGGGGACUCAUGAGAGACUGCCGGGGUCAACUCGGAGGAAGGUGGGGAUGACGUCAAAUCAUCAUGCCCCUUAUGUCCAGGGCUUCACACAUGCUACAAUGGUCGGUACAACGCGCAGCGACACUGUGAGGUGGAGCGAAUCGCUGAAAGCCGGCCUUAGUUCGGAUUGGGGUCUGCAACUCGACCCCAUGAAGUCGGAGUCGCUAGUAAUCGCAGAUCAGCAAUGCUGCGGUGAAUACGUUCCCGGGCCUUGUACACACCGCCCGUCACGUCAUGAAAGUUGGUAACA
rnacentral:rRNA from 1 species